rnacentral:rRNA from 1 species
CCUACGGGGCGCAGCAGUGGGGAAUAUUGGGCAAUGGAGGAAACUCUGACCCAGCAACGCCGCGUGAAGGAUGAAGGUUUUCGGAUUGUAAACUUCUGUCGCGAGGGAUGAAGAAUGACGGUACCUCGUAAGAAAGCCCCGGCAAACUACGUGCCAGCAGCCGCGGUAAUACGUAGGGGGCAAGCGUUAUCCGGAUUUACUGGGUGUAAAGGGAGCGUAGACGGCAUGGCAAGUCAGACGUGAAAGCCCGGGGCUCAACCCCGGGACUGCAUUUGAAACUGUCAGGCUGGAGUGCAGGAGAGGUA